rnacentral:lncRNA from 10 species
AAGGUGCUUGUUUCCCCUUCACCUUCCACCAUGAUUCUACAUUUCCUGAGGCCUCCCCAGCACUGUGGAACUAUGAGGAAGCGGAUGCAUAGCAAGUUUAAAUAGCUUGCAGAAGGACACACAGUUUGCAAGUGAAGGAGCUCAAAUUCAAAGACUGGCAGUCUGCAUCCAGAGUUGAUCAUCUUAAAUACCAUGCUGAACCGGUUGCUCUCAAAGUCUAAACAGUAUUUUUUACAAUAAGAUAUCCUUUUGUAGGUCAACGAAUAGUUUCUAAUUCUUUUUAAAAUAAAAUACAAUGAACUGAAUACAA